rnacentral:rRNA from 1 species
AUUGAACGCUAGCGGCAUGCCUUACACAUGCAAGUCGAACGGCAGCACGGGGCAACCUGGUGGCGAGUGGCGAACGGGUGAGUAAUGCAUCGGAACGUACCUUUCAGUGGGGGAUAACGUAGCGAAAGUUACGCUAAUACCGCACAUUCUGUGAGCAGGAAAGCAGGGGAUCGCAAGACCUUGCGCUGAUUGAGCGGCCGAUGUCAGAUUAGCUAGUUGGUGAGGUAAAGGCUCACCAAGGCGACGAUCUGUAGCGGGUCUGAGAGGAUGAUCCGCCACACUGGAACUGAGACACGGUCCAGACUCCUACGGGAGGCAGCAGUGGGGAAUUUUGGACAAUGGGGGCAACCCUGAUCCAGCCAUGCCGCGUGAGUGAAGAAGGCCUUCGGGUUGUAAAGCUCUUUCGGCCGGGAAGAAAUCGCACGGGCUAAUACCCUGUGUGGAUGACGGUACCGGAAUAAGAAGCACCGGCUAACUACGUGCCAGCCGCCGCGGUAACAC